AAUAAAAUGGCUGAGUUAUAAGCGAUAAAUUGUAAAUUUAUUAACAAGAGGGUUUCUUUUUUAUUA
rnacentral:tRNA from 1 species